CUUGACUGUAGCUUGGAAUUGGGUUCGGGCUUUUCUUGCGCAGCCUAGGUGGGAGGCUAUGAAGAUUUCCUUCCGGGGAAGUUGGAGCCAUCAGUGAGAGACCACUCUGGAGAGGCUAGAAUCCUAAUGGUGAUCCUUGAAUCAGGACACUUGACAGUUUCAGGUGGGCAGUUUUUCUGGGGCGGAAGCCUCAUAAAGGGUAACUGAGGCGCGCAAAGGUCCCCUCAGUCUGGACGGAAAUCAGACAACGAGUGUAAAGGCAAAAGGGGGCUUGACUGCAAGACCUACAAGUCGAGCAGGAGCGAAAGCUGGCCUUAGUGAUCCGGCGGUACCGUGUGGAAGGGCCGUCGCUCAACGAAUAAAAGUUA
rnacentral:rRNA from 1 species